GCUAACUACGUGCCAGCAGCCGCGGUAAUACGUAGGGGGCAAGCGUUGUCCGGAAUUAUUGGGCGUAAAGCGCGCGCAGGCGGUCUUUUAAGUCUGAUGUGAAAUCCCGCGGCUCAACCGUGGGCGGUCAUUGGAAACUGGAGGACUUGAGUGCAGAAGAGGAGAGUGGAAUUCCACGUGUAGCGGUGAAAUGCGUAGAGAUGUGGAGGAACACCAGUGGCGAAGGCGACUCUCUGGUCUGUAACUGACGCUGAGGUGCGAAAGCAUGGGUAGCGAACAGGAUUAGAUACCCCUGUAGUC
rnacentral:rRNA from 1 species